AGUGAACGCUGGCGGUAGGCCUAACACAUGCAAGUCGAACGGCAGCACAGUAAGAGCUUGCUCUUACGGGUGGCGAGUGGCGGACGGGUGAGGAAUACAUCGGAAUCUACUUUUUCGUGGGGGAUAACGUAGGGAAACUUACGCUAAUACCGCAUACGACCUACGGGUGAAAGCAGGGGAUCUUCGGACCUUGCGCGAUUGAAUGAGCCGAUGUCGGAUUAGCUAGUUGGCGGGGUAAAGGCCCACCAAGGCGACGAUCCGUAGCUGGUCUGAGAGGAUGAUCAGCCACACUGGAACUGGAACACGGUCCAGACUCCUACGGGAGGCAGCAGUGGGGAAUAUUAGACAAUGGGCGCAAGCCUGAUCCAGCCAUACCGCGUGGGUGAAGAAGGCCUUCGGGUUGUAAAGCCCUUUUGUUGGGAAAGAAAAGCAGCAGGUUAAUACCCCGCUGUUCUGACGGUACCCAAAGAAUAAGCACCGGCUAACUUCGUG
rnacentral:rRNA from 1 species